CCGGAAAACCGGAGCGUGUGUGUUGAAUUUAUCCGGAAAUCGAGCCUCCGAUAAAUCUGCAGUCGCUUGAUUUUUUACCUGGAGGUUUACAGAAUGUCUACAAGUCGUAACGUGUGUGGGCAGAAACGAGGUUUCUAGAUUACCAUUUUUGGCGUGAUGGCUGACAUAAGAUCGUGGCCGAAUUCAUUCCAACAAACACUUGAGAAACUGCGUAUUUGAAACAAGAUGUGGAUGGUACUGCAAAAAAGAUACUGUAGUAAAGAGGAUAAACAAUAUGCGCAGUUCUUAAAGAAAAGAGUUGAAGAAAGUGGCACAGUGUAAAACAAGCGGCGCGAACGAAGUAUACGAUCCAUCUCUAUGCUAAUUCCACGUUGGAUUUUCUAUACGACCAGGACCUUCCUAAUGGUGUAUUCUAAAGUAACGUUGAAGAGCAAGGUGUCCCACUGCCAAAUCUCACAUAAACUGCCUGGAAACAAACAUGGACCUCAAUGGUUGGAAGCUGGUCACAGCUAUGGCAUGGCCUAUUCUGAUACAUUUUAAUCAUCCUAACUAAUUAAAUCAGUAUUCCAAAUUCAGUGAGAAUGCUGAGUAAUACUUCUUUGUUAACCAAAUCGUAAGCUCUUUUGAAGUCUAUAAAUAGCUGAUGUAUCGUACUCCUAUUUUUUAUCCAAUAACUGUUGAAUACAUAUCCUGGAUAUAUGCGAAUCAGAAUGAAAUUCAAAUGACAUUUUUGGUAAAAACU